AUUUCCUAGUCCCCUGCCCACCAAACUAUACUUAAUAAACCCUACCCUCCAAAUUCUCAGGACGGCAGAUUUGAGAAACAUCUCCUGUCCUUGGCUGGCCCUGUGAUUAUUAAACUCUUUCUUUGCUGCAGCACCUGCUGUUCUCAGUGCAUUAGUCUUUCUGGGCAGCAGGCAAGAAGAACUUGUUGGGCUAUAACACUGUUGUCUUUUCCUAGAAUCCUAUGCAUCCCAAUCAGUUCUGUAGUUCUCCCAGGGGUGAUUUAGGGAUUGAGAGUGGCAGCCAUCUUGGCAGGAUGUUGCCACACCUCCCAUUCUCACAUCUGACCCACCAGUCCCCAAACUUGAUGUUGUGCUUUGUUUCCUGUAUGGACUGAUCUUGGUAUUCCCUCAGAGAAAAAUCUGGCUGUGCCGUCUAUCAGACUUCAUUCCCACACAGCUGCCCAGACACAGGGCAGCCUUCCUCUCAGAACAUCUUCUGUAUCCUGAAAGCCUCCAGUGGGUUCAUCCUUCAAGUUAAUGGACAGGAAAACUAAGACCAGUGAGGAAUCCCAACACUCAUCCUGCCAGGAUAGAAAGGAAAGCCCAGAGGCAUUGCAAAGAGUGCUGAAGAGCAGGGAUUCGCUGUAUGGGGACAACUCUUGCUUUGUGUUUCAGGACAGGGAACCCAGGAGUGCAAACCUCAGUCAGGUGCAGUCCAGAGCCUGUCUUGAGCAUAAUGGCUGCUCUGCUCUGCCCCCGACCCUCACCACCUCCAGCGGGGUUCAUCAUCCCAGUUUAUGGACAGAAAAACUAAGACUAGAGGGGGAGGGCUUAGCUCCUGCUCGGAGGAGACCUUCAACUCCUUCACCUGCCUGGACUUGGCACCCUCCCAAGAGACUGCAACCAAGGUUAUGAAAAUAGCAUCUACUCACCAUCCUUCCUCAGCACACCCCCAACCAAUCCACCCCUCAGUCCCACCCCUGUCUCAAGGAGACUGAGCCCCGAGAAGCACAGCCUCCUGCACCUCCUCACCUCCCAGCCUGCCUUCCUGGUCUAUCUGCAAUGUCCUCAAGUCCUUUCCCGUCCUCCUCAUCCAAACUCCAAGACCUGCCUCACCUCACCCUCCUCCAGGAAGCCCCCUUCAUGGUCUGGGUUCACUCCCUGUCAUGACGUCCGCCCUCACCAGCACAGCACCAAGCCUUGCAAUGCUCUCUAGUAGUUAUUUCCUGCACAGAGAAGGGGUGAGGGAAGCAUCAUUUCUGCCUAUCCCUGUUCACACGCAAGGCUGGCUCUGCCUUCCCAGGGACCGUUCUGCAGAGGGAGACCGCUCAUCAGGCAGGUACCACCUCCAGGGAUCUCACUAAGGUAGAACUGAUGGGCCUCAGUUCUGUUCAGAGAACAGCUAUACAGGCUGGAGGCCUCCAAGAAACAGUUUCCAUUUUCCCUGAGGAGUCUGUAUGGAUGUGUACUGUACAGGGUAUAGGCUGUAUGGAGUCUGCAGGUAAACAUGCCUGUGUGUCAAAGAAUGAGUCUGUAUGGGUGUGUACUGUACAGGGUAUAUGCUGUAUGGAGUCUGCAGGUAAACAUGCCUGUGUGUCAAAGAAUGAGCAUGUGUGUGUGUGCAUGUGUCAGCAUGAGAAUGCCUCUGUGUUUGUGAGUGUGAGAGGGUCAUAUAGGUGCAGCAUUCUGUUGAUGGAGAGUCAAACUCUGUAAAAAAAAAUUUUUUUUUUCUUUAGAUGGAGUCUCACUCUGUCACCCAGGCUGGAGUGCAGUGGCGCGAUCUCGGCUCACUGCAACCUCCGCCUCCCGGGUUCAAGCAAUCCUCCCUGCCUCAGCCUCCCAAGUAGCUGGGAUUAUAGGCACCUGCCACCACGGUCGACUAAUUUUUGUAUUUUUUAGUAGAGACUGGGUUUUCGUCAUGUUGGUCAGGCUGGUCUUGAACUCCUGACCUCAUGUGAUCCACCCACCUCCGCCUCCCAAAGUGUUGGGAUUACAAGCGUGAGCCACUGCACCCAGCCUGUAAAAUAUUUUAAGAGAUUUAUUCUGAGCCAAAUAUGAGUGACCGUGGCCUGUGACACAGCCCUCAGGAGGUCCUGAGAACAUGUGCCCAAGGUGGUCGGGAUACAUCUUGGUUUUAUGUAUUUUAGGAAGGUAUGAGACAUCAAUCAAAUACAUAUAAGAAAUACAUUGAUUUGGUUCAGAAAGGCAGAACAACUCAAAGCGGGGGGCUUCCAGGCUAUAGGUAAAUUUAAACAUUUUCUGGUUGACAAUUGUUUGAGUUUGUCUAAAGACCUGGGAUCCAUAGAAAGGAAUGUUCAGUUUAAAGAUAAAGGAUUAUAGAGACCAAGUUUUAUUGUGCAGAGGAAGCUCUCAGAUAGCAGACUUCAGACAGAGCAAGUUGUAAAUUGUCUCUUAUCGGACUUAAAAGGGUGCCUGGCUCUUACUUAGUUGAUUAUCUCCUGGAUCUGGAAAGAAAGGAAGGAAAACAAAGGCGGAAGGGGAAUCUCUAUAGAAUGUGGAUUUUUCCCACAAGAGACUUUGCAGGGCAAUUUCAAGGUAUGGCACGGAAAUAUAUUUUGGGGUUAAAUAUUUUUUUCCUUGUCUCAUAAUGUUAUGCCAGAGUCAGAUUGAAAAGUAAAUCACAACAUAUAGGGUCAAAUAAAACCCAUCUGAUGAGAAUGUAUGGUUUGUAGGGCAUGACUUCCUAGACCUCUUAGGUAGGAAUCUGGGUAAGACAGAAUAUCAGACUUAGUCCUCAAUUCCUAAUGCAAAGUUCUGAGAUCCAAAAUGCUCCAAAAUCUAAAACAUUUUUUAGCACCGACAUAAUGCCACAAGUGGAAAAUUCCACACUUGCUUCAAUGUGCACAAACUUUGUUUCAUGCAUAAAAUUAUUCAAAAUAUUAUAUAAAACUGCUUCAGGCUGUGUGUAUAUAAAACAUAAAUGGAUUUCCUGUUUAGCCUGGGGUCUCAUUCCCAAGAUAUCUCAUUAUGUAUAUGCAAAUAUUCCAAAAUCCGAAAAAAAUCUUAAAUCUGAGACACUUCUGGCCCCAAGCAUUUUGGAUAAGGGAUACUCAACCUGUAGGUGAAUGGACAGGAGUGAGACUACCAACCACCGUCCCCCCCGUCCCCGCCGCGUCCCCCUCACCCCACCCCACCCCCUCCCAUAUCCUUCUCUGACCUCUGGGGAGGUGAGGACAGCGAGGGCUGGACACCACCUGGUGGCCCUGAGCUGCACUACAAGCCACCACCACCCCACUCUUUUCUCCCUGCCCCCUACUCCAACUCACACACACACAGACACACACAUGCACACACACAGUUGAUCCCAGCUCUCAGCUCUUUCUCUGGGGCUUCAACCCACUUUGUGCUCACCAUCCCAAUGCCCUACAAUAGUCUUGCAAAGACUGAAGAUGGAGACCCCGUCCUUCUGAGUCUCCUUUCCCUAUCCCAGAGGAGGAGAAAGGAAUCAGACAGCUCUCGGAGGGGAAUCAGACAGGUAGGGCUCAAAUCCUAACCUUGGUGCAUUACUUAACCUCUCCAAACCUUAGACAACUUGGCUGCAGAAUAGACUAAUGGUAUCUGCUAGAAUCAUUGUGAAAUUUAAAUAAAAUGCAAAAUGAAACCAUUAAGUUGGGAGAGCAGGACAGCUACAGGAAGCCAAUGGGGUCAAGCCUUGUGUUCUGUAACCUGGUGAGGGCUGUCCUCAGGCUCUGUGCAGAGCCUCCUCCCAUCUGUCCUCUCUCCCUUCCUCCCACCUCUCCUCCCUGGGCAUCCUCAGAUAGCUGUUUUGCUCACCUUUGCAGGGAGCUCACCCCUGCCAGAGGCUCCACCCAAUACCUGUUGUGGGUGAGGGUGAUGCUGAACAGAGCCCCCACAGCUCUUCAUGGAGUGGCAUAGACCCCACCUCCCAGGGCCCCUCCAAGUCCUCCCUCUGCAUCCCCCGACCCACUGGUCACCAUGUUCUGCCAACCUAGCAUCUCCUGAAUUCCUCUCCUCGCCCAGCCCAGGGCACAGCACAUCACCCAUAGAAUAAUCCCUGCCCACCCUCUCCCCUUGCAGUCACUUCCCUGCUCUCCAGGGGGAUCUUUCUAAAAUGCACUUCUGAGUCACUCUCCUACUGAAAACCUUUCUCUGGUUCUCCACUGCCCACAGAAUAAAGCCAAACUCCACAACCUGGCAUUUAAGGCCCUUCAGGAUCUGGCCUUGCCUCCUCCUCCAUCUCUCGGCUCCUCCACCUGCCAGUCCCUUCUGUUCUCGAGGCCUUUGCAAAAGCAGUUUCUUCUACCAGGAGUGCCUGUCCCCUUUUGCCUAUAAACAACAUCUGCUCAUCUUUCAAACCUCAUUGUUGUUCUCAGGGUUAUGAUCCUGCCUGGAGCCCCAUGGCCGGGCACCCCACAGCGUUGUCAUGGCCUGCAUCUGAGUUUAGAUCUAGCUCUCCAAUCAAACUGUGAGACUUUCCAGAGCAGGACAAAGACAAAGCCCUCAGCCCUAGCACAGGGUCCUGCGUGCACAAGGAAAUAUCUGUGGUUGUUCCCUCCAUUUGGUGAAAAACAGGGAUGUGUCACAGCAUGAGCCUCAAAGGAGGGCUGGGCUGGGGACAGACAGAUGCAGGGUCAAGGUUCUCUUUGCCUGAAGAGUUGUGGAAGAGGAACACGCACACACACUCAGGGUCAGGGGUCAGGCAGAAGAGCAGCUACAUCAGCCCACAGUGACCCUGGGGUCAGCCAGGCACCAUUAGAAUAGCCAUCUCUUAUUGGCCGUGGGCCACAAACUGACCACUCCCACCCCCACCUGGGGACCCACUGGCCAAGCCUGGGUCCUGUGCUGUGAGAGGAUAGAGACGGACUUGGGGAGCCCACAGCAGGAGCUGGGAAUGGGAGGAGCCUGGAGCCCCAUGACGCUAAGGGAAGCUGGAAACCUGGAGACCAUUCAGCCAGAGGAGCAGAUUCCAAACCCAGACAGGCUAGUGGGGCAGGGGGAGCUGCAGAGGAAGCAGAUGGGCUCUGUGGUCCCAAAGGCAAAGCUGGCAAUGGCUGAUGGUCACAGGAUGGCCCUGUCCAUCUCCUUCCUGCUCCCACCAAGAAAGGAGACCCCAGUGCCCACCCUCUUAACACAUCAACCUUUACUGACCAGGAAGAGAUGAACACGGAGAGGAGCUCAGAGGGGGGUAGGCAAGUCGGGGACAGGGUCUGGAGACUGUGCCAGGCAGAGCCUCCGCGUAGCCCCAACCUGCAGUCUGCCCAUCUUGGACUGGGCGGAAGUAAACACUCUCAUGCAGAGGAACAGACACAACUCCUCAGACACAACCCGGGGCUGGAUCUGGUGUGGAGUCUGACUCAGGGGUGCACCUUCGGCAGGACUCAGAGUAACUGGGAUGUGGGACUUCCUGGGACACAGCCAGGCAUCACUGCAGCUAGAAACAGAGUUCAGAGGCCUAGGCCCUCGCCGUAUGGGCACUCAUGACCAGGGCAGGCCAGCGCUGGGAGGGUCUAGGACAAGCUCCAGGCUACCUCCUCCAGGCAGCCUGCCUGCUUGCCUCAACCUUUGUUUUUCCUCUAUUCUACAAUCUCUGCCAGCCAACAUGUCCCAUCACUGCUCCAUGGCCAGGCCUUCUCAUCUGCCACCCACCCCUUAGCCUCCACGAUCUGGCCUAGGGAGUACCCCAACAGGUCUAUGACUUCCCCAGAAGGGGGGCUAGGCACCAAGGGUGGAGGACCCUGGAAGCCAUGGAGUUCCAAAGGGCGUUUGCCUCUCCCAGUUCUAUUCCCCCCCUCCACCCACCCCAAGCACAAAGUCUGCAAACAGCCCCAUGGGGGAGGACUGGUAGAAAGAAAUAGAUUUAUUCUCAUGUACAAAGCGGUCAGCCCACGGGACCAUAUACGACAGUUGCACAG
rnacentral:lncRNA from 1 species